GGUAAGAUGGCUGAGUGCCCAAGCGGUGGGCUGUAGACCCAUAAACAGAGAUUCAAUUCCUCUUUUUAUCA
rnacentral:tRNA from 1 species